rnacentral:misc_RNA from 1 species
GUCUCGUCUUCUUGAAGAAAGUUUCAGGCAACACCACACCUUAAACCCAAGGCAGAAAGAGGCAUUGGCUAUGCAGUUGAGGCUUAGGCCAAGACAAGUUGAGGUGUGGUUUCAAAAUCGUAGGGCCAGGAGCAAGCUUAAGCAGACAGAGAUGGAAUGCGAGUAUUUGAAGAGGUGGUUUGGUUCCCUAACAGAGCAGAACAGAAGGCUACAAAGGGAAGUAGAGGAGCUUAGGGCAAUGAAAGUGGGGCCUCCAACUGUGAUAUCUCCUCACAGUUGUGAGCCUCUCCCAGCAUC